AACGAACGCUGGCGGCGUGGAUAAGACAUGCAAGUCGAACGGGAUAACAUCUGUAGCAAUACAGGUGUUAUUUAGUGGCGAACGGGUGCGUAACACGUGGGCAAUCUGCCGAGAAGUGGGGGAUAGCUCGCCGAAAGGCGAAUUAAUACCGCAUAUGAUCAGUGAAGACAUCUUCACGACAUCAAAGCCGGGGCAACCUGGCGCUUCUUGAUGAGCCCGCGGCCUAUCAGCUAGUUGGUGAGGUAACGGCUCACCAAGGCUAUGACGGGUAGCUGGUCUGAGAGGACGACCAGUCACACUGGAACUGAGACACGGUCCAGACACCUACGGGUGGCAGCAGUCGAGAAUUUUUCUCAAUGGGGCAACCCUGAAGGAGCGACGCCGCGUGGAGGAUGAAGG
rnacentral:rRNA from 1 species